rnacentral:vault_RNA from 1 species
GGGCUGGCUUUAGCUCAGCGGUUCCUUCAACUCUCUAAAAACCCAGCCCCUCCGGGGGUUUGAGACCCGUGGGCGCUGUCUGGCCUUUCG